GACGAACGCUGGCGGCGUGCUUAACACAUGCAAGUCGAACGGAAAGGCCCUGCUUUUGUGGGGUGCUCGAGUGGCGAACGGGUGAGUAACACGUGAGUAACCUGCCCUUGACUUUGGGAUAACUUCAGGAAACUGGGGCUAAUACCGGAUAGGAGCUCCUGCUGCAUGGUGGGGGUUGGAAAGUUUCGGCGGUUGGGGAUGGACUCGCGGCUUAUCAGCUUGUUGGUGGGGUAGUGGCUUACCAAGGCUUUGACGGGUAGCCGGCCUGAGAGGGUGACCGGCCACAUUGGGACUGAGAUACGGCGCAGACUCCUACGGGAGGCAGCAGUGGGGAAUAUUGCAAAAAGGGCGGAAGCCUGAUGCAGCAACGCCGCGUGCGGGAUGACGGCCUUCGGGUUGUAAACCGCUUUCGCCUGUGACGAAGCGUGAGUGACGGUAAUGGGUAAAGAAGCACCGGCUAACUACGUG
rnacentral:rRNA from 1 species